UACGUAGGGGGCAAGCGUUGUCCGGAUUUAUUGGGCGUAAAGAGCGCGUAGGCGGCCAAGCAGGUCUGCUGUGAAAACUCGAGGCUCAACCUCGAGAGGUCGGUGGAAACCGUUUGGCUAGAGUCCGGAAGAGGAGAGUGGAAUUCCCGGUGUAGCGGUGAAAUGCGCAGAUAUCAGGAGGAACACCAAUGGCGAAGGCAGCUCGCUGGGACGGUACUGACGCUGAGGCGCGAAAGCGUGGGGAGCAAACAGG
rnacentral:rRNA from 1 species